CAACUGAGUACAUCACUAGUGGAAGAACAGUUUUCUUUCCUUACUUGGGAGAAUUAAUCUUUGUGAGAAAUAUGAAGCUGAUUCAUGUACCACCUAAGGUGAAAAUGUUAAAUAUGCUGAGGCUGUAGACUUUCCUUGUAGAUUUUGAGAUCAGGUCCUUUUUUGCUCAUCAUGUGAAGGUCUACACAUCCUCUCCCUUUGCAAAAACUGUUACAGAAUCUGCCCUCUAGUCAUGACAAAUUUCUGAAUCUAGUUCUGGG